UCUCAGAAAGCUUCUUGCUGGUUUUUAUCUGAGGAUACUUCCUUUUUCACCAUAAGCCUCAAUGCGUUCCCAAAUAUCCCUUAUGCAUAUUCUACCAAAACAGUGUUUACAACUGCUGAAUGAAAAGAAAGUUUUAACUCUGUCAAUUGAAUGCACAAAUCACAAAGCAGUUUCUCAGAUAGCUUUCUUCUAGAUUUUAUCCCGAGAUAUUCACUUUUUUGCCUUUGGCCUCAGUGAGCUCUCAAAUGUCCAUUCAUAGAAUGGACAAAAACAGUGUUUCCAAACUGCCAAAGCCAAAGAAAGGUUUAACUCUGUGAGAUGAAUGCGCACGUCACAAAGCAGUUUUUCAGAAAGCUUCUAACUAGUUUUUAUCUGAAGAUAUUUCCACUUUCACCAUAGGCCUCAAUGAGCUCCCAAAUAUACCUUCGCAGAUUCUACCAAAACAGUGUUUCCAAACUGUAGAAUGAAAAGAAAGGUUUAACACUUUGAGUUGAAAGCAACAGCACAAAGCGGAUUCUUACAUAGAUUUCUUCUAGUAUUUUUCUGGGGAUAUUGUCUUUUUCAAUUUGGCCUCAAUGAGGUCUGACAUGUCCUUUCAUAGAAUGGACUAAAACAGUGUUUCCAAACGUCUGAAUCCAAAGAAACUUCAACUCUGUGAGAGAAAUGUACUAGUCAUACAGCAGUUUCUUGGAAAAAUUCUGUCUAGUUUUUAUCUGAAGAUAUUUCCCUUUUCACCAAAGGCCUCAAUUUGCUCCCAAAUAUCCCUUCUUAGAUACUACAAAAACAGUAUUUUUAAAUUGCUGAAUGAAAAGACAGUUUUACCUUUGUGUGUGAAUGCACACAUCACAAAGCUGUUUUUCAAAUAGCUUCCUUCUUGUUUUAAUCCUGGGAUGUUCACUUUUUCCCCAUUGGCCUCAGUUAGCUCCAAAAUAUCUGUUCACAGAUUCCACAAAAACAGUGUUUCCAAACUACUGAAUCCAAAGAAAGUUUUAACUCUGUACCCAUCACAAAGCAGUUUCUCAGAAAGCUUCUGUCUAGCUUUUAUCUGAAGAUAUUUCCUUUUUCACUAUAGGCCUCAAGGCACUCCCAAAUAUAACUUCACAGAUUCUACCAAAAGAGUGUUUCCAAACUGCUGAAUGAAAAGAAAGUUUUAACUCUGUGAGAUGAAUGUAGACUUCACAAGGCCGUUUCUCCGAUACCUUCCUUUUAGUUUUCGUUGUGGGAUAUUCAUUUUUUCCACUAUGCCCUCAAUGAGCUCUCAAAUAUCCCAUUGCAGAUGUGAAAAAAGCAGUGUUUCCAAAUUACUGAAUCCAAACAAACAUUUGGAUUUCUGAGAUGAAUGCACACAUCAUGAAGCAGUUUUUCAGAAAUCUUGUUUCUAGUUUUUAUCUGAAGAUAUUUCUUUUUUCACCAUAGGCCUCAAUGUGCUCUCAAAUAUCUCUUUGCAGAAUCUACCAAAAUGGUGUUUCCAAAUUGUUGAAUGAAAAGAAAGGUUUAACUCUGUGAGAUGAAAGCAACCAUCACAAAGGCCUUCAUCAGAGACCUUCCUUCUAGUUUUUAUCAUGGGAUAUUCACUUUUUCACCUAUGGCCUCAAUGAGCUCUCUAAUAUCCAUUCACAGAUUCAACAAAAACAGUGUUUCCAUGCUGCUGAAUACAAAAAAAACGUUUACCUCUGUGAGAUGAAUGUGCACAUCACAAAGCAGUUUCCCAGAAUGCUUCUUUCCAGUUUUUAUUGGAAGAUAUUUCUUUUUUCACCAUAGUCCUCAAUGCACUCCCAAAUAUCCCUUCACAGUUUCUACCAAAACAGUGCCUUCAAAUUGCUGAAUGUAAAGAAACUUUUAACUCGGUGAAAUGAAUGCACACAGCAGAAAGUGGUUUCUCAGAUAGCUUUCUUCUAGUUUUCAUCUUGGGAUAUUUGCUUUUUCUCCAUUGGAAUCAAGGACCUCCCAAAUCUCCAUUCGCAGAAUGGACAAUAACAGUGUUUCCAAACUGUUGAAUCCAAAGAAAGGUUUAACUUUGUGAGGUGAAUGCACCUGUCCCAAAGCAGUUUCUCAGAAAGCUUCUUGCUAGUUUUCAUCUGAAGAUACUUCCUUUUUAUCCCUAGGCCUCAAUGGGCUCCCAAAUAUCCAUUCACAGAUUCUACAAAAACAGUGUUUCCAGCCUGCUGAAUGAAAAGGAAGUUUAACCACUGCGAGCUUAAUGCACACAUCACAAGGUGGUUUCUUAGAUAGCUUUUUUCUAGUUUUUAUCCUGGGAUAUUCACUUUUUCCCCCUAUGGCCUCAGUGAGCUCCCAAAUAUCCCUUCACAGAUUCUACAACAAGUGUGUUUCCAAACUGCUGAAUCAACAAAAAAGUUUAACUCUGUGGGAUGAAUGAACACAUUACAAAGAAGUUUCUCAGAAAGCUUCUGUCUAGUUUUUAUAUGAAGAUAUUUCUUUUUCACCGGAGUCCUCAAAGGGCUCCCAAAUAUUCCUUUGCAGAUUGUACAAAAAGACUGUUUCCAAACUGCUCAAUCAAAAGAAAGUUUCAACUCUGUGAGAUGAAUGGACACUUUAAAAAGCAGUUUCUCAGAAAACUUCUUUCUGGUUUUUAGCUGAAGAUAUUUCCUUUUUCACCAUUAGCCUCAAUGCACUCCCAGAUAUCCCUUUGCAGAUUCUACAAAAACAGUGUUUCCACACUGCAGAAUGAAAAGAAAGGUUUAACUGUGCCAGAGAAAUGCACACAUCACAAAGCAGUUUCUCAGAUAUAUUUCUUCAAGUUUUCAUACUGGGACAUUCACUUUUUUGCCAUUGACCCAAAUGAGCUCAAAAAUUGUCCAUUCACAGAAAGGACAAAAACAGUAUUUCAAAAUUGCUGAAUCCAAAGUAAGGUUUAAGUCUAUGAGGUGAAUGCACACAUCAAAAAGCAGUUUGUAAGAAAGUUUCUUUCUGGUUUUUAUCUGAAGAUAUUUCCUUUUUCCCCAUACAACUCAAAGCUCUCCCAAAUAUCACUUAGUGUAUUCUGUCAAAACAGUGUUUCCAGACUGCUGAAUGAAAAGAGAGAUUAAUUCUGCAGGAUGAAUGCACACAUCACAAAGUGGUUUCUCAUAUAGCUUUUGUCUAAUUUUUAUCCUGGGAUAUUGUCUUUUUCACCAUUGGCCUCAAUGAGCUCCCAAAUGUCCAUUUGCAGAAUGGACAAAAAUAGUGUUAGCUAACUGCAGAAUCCACAGAAAGUUUUAACUCUGUGAUUUCAAUGCAUACUUCAGACAGCAGUUUCUCAGAAAGCUUCUUUCUAGUUUUAAUCUGAAUAUAUUUCCUUUUUCACUAUAAGCCUCAGUGCACUCCCAGAUAUCCCUUCACAGAUUCUACAAAUACAGUGUUUCCAAGCUGCUGAAUAGAAAGAAAUGUUUAAUUCUGCAAGAUGAAUAUGCACAUCACAAAGUUGUUUCUGAAAUAGCUUCCUUCUAGUUUUUGUCCUGAGAUAAUCACUUUUUUGCCUUUGGCCUCAUUAAGCUCCCAAAUGUCCCUUCAUAAAUUCUACAACAACAGUGUUUCCAAACCACUGAAUCCAAAGAAAGGUUGUACUCUGUGAGAUGAAUGAACACAUAGAAAAGCAGUGUCUGAUAAAGUCUCUUUGUAUUUUUAAUCUGAAGAUAUUUCCUUUUUCACCAUAGGCCUCAAUGUGCUCCAAAAUGCAACUUUGCAGAUUCUACAAAAACAGGGUUUGCAAACUGCUGAAUGAAAAGAAUGGUUUAAAUCUGAGAAAUGAAUGCACACAUCACAAACCGGCUCAUCAGAUAGCUUCUUCCUACUUUUUUUUUUUUCCUGGGAUGUUCACUUUUUUGCCUUUGGCUCUGUCAGCUUCCACAUGUCCCUACACAAAUACUAAAACAACAGUGUUUCCAAACUCCUGAAUCCAAAGAAAGGUUUAACCCUGUGAUAUGAAUUCACACAUCACAAAGCAGUUUCUUAGAAAGCUUCUUUCUAGUUUUUAUCUGAAGAUAUGUCAUUUUUCACCAUAGGACUCAAUGCGUUCCCAGAUAUUUCUUCAUGGAUCCUGUGAAUACAGUGUUUCCAGACUGCUGAAUGAAAAGAAAGGUUUCUCUCUUUGAGGUGAAUGCAAACAUCAAAAAGCUGUUUCUGAGAUAGCUUUCUUCUAGUUUUAUCCUGGGGUAUUUUCCUUUUCACCAUUGACCAAAGGACCUCCAAAAUGCCCAUUCAUAGAAUGGACAAAAACAGUGUUUGCAAACUGCUGCAUCCACAGAAAGGUUUAAAUCUGUGAGAGGAAUGCACACAUGACAUAGCAAUUUCCCAGAAAGCUUCUUGCUAGUUUUUAUAUGAGGAUAAUUCCUUUUUCACCGGAGGCCUCACUGCACUCCAAAAUAUAAUUUGCAAAUUCUACAAAAAAAAAAAGGUGUUUCCAAACUGCUGAAUGGAAAGAGUGGUGUAACAUCACAAAGCGGUUUCUCAGAUAACUUUCUUCUAUUUUUUUCCUGGAAUAUUUGCUCUUUCAUCUUUUUCCUCUGUGAGCUCUGAAAUAUCGCUUCACAGAUUCCACAACAGUGUUCACAAACUGCAGAAUGCAAAGAAAGGUUUAACUCUGUGAGAUGAAUGUACACAUCACAAAGUAGUUUCUCAGAAAGCUUCUUUUUAGUUUUUAUCUGAAGACAUUUCCUUUUUCACCAUAAGCCUCCAUGUGCUGCCAGUAAUCACGUCACAGAUUCUACCAAAAUAGUGUUUAUAAACUGCUGAAUGAAUAGAAAGUUUUAUUUCUGGUAGAUGAAUGCACACAUUACAAAGCAGUUUCUCAGAGAGCUUCCUUCCAGUUUUUAUUCUGGGAUAUUUGCUUUUUUACCAUUGGACUCACAGAGCUCCCAAAUGUCCAUUAGCAGAAUGGACAAAGACACCAUUUGGAAACUGCUGAAUCCACAGAAAGUUUUAACUCUAUGAGAUUAAUGCAAACAUCACAAAACAGUUUCUCAGAAAGUUUCAUCUAAUUUUUAUCUGAAGAUAUUUCUUUUUUCUGUAGGCCUCAAAGCACUCCCAGAUAUCCACUUGGAGUUUCUACAAAAACAGUGUUUCCAAACUGCUGAUAUAAAAGAAAGUUUUAACCCUGUGAAAUGAAUGCCCACAUAACAUUGGUUUUUCUGAUUGCUUCCUUCUAGUUUUUUUUCCCCUGGAAUAUUCACUUUCUCACCAGUCACCUUAAUGAGCUCUGGAAUAUCCCUUCACAGAUUCUAAAACAACUGUGUUUCCAUCUGCUGAAUCCAAAGAAAGGUUUAACUCGGUGAGAUGAAUGCACACAUCCCAAAUAGUUUCUGAGAAAGCCUCUUUCUAGUUUAUAUUUUAAAAUAUAUCCUUUUUCACCAUAGGCCUCCAGGUGCUCUCAAAUAUCCCUUUAUGGAUUCUUCCAAAACAGUGUCUCCAAGCAGCUAAAUGAAAAGCCAUGUUUAUCUCUGUGAGGUGAAUGCACACAUCACAAAACUGUUUCUCAGAUAGCUUACUUCUAGUAUUUAUCCUGGGAUAUUUGCUUUUUCUCUGUUAGCCUCAAUGAGCUCCUAAAUGUCCACUUGCCGAAUGGACAAAAACAGUGUUUGCAAAUGGCUGAAUACACAGAAAGGUUUAAUUCUGUCAGGGGAAAGCACAUAUCAAAGCAGUUUCUCAGAAAGAUUCCUUCUAGUUUUUUUCUGAUGAUAUUUCCUUUUUCACCAUAGGCUUCAAAGCGCUCCCAGAUAUUCGUUCAAAGAUUCUAUGAAAACAGUGUUUCCAAACUGCUGAAUGAAAGGAAAGGUUUAACUAUGCAAGAUGAAUGUACACAUCACAAAGUGAUUUCUCAAAUAGCUCCCUUCUAGUUUUUAUCCUGGGAUACUCACUUUUUCACCAUUGGCCUCAAUGAGCUCCCAAACAUCCCUUUGCAGAUUCUACAAUAACAGUGUUCCCAAACUGCUGAAUCCAAAGAAAUAUUUAACUCUAUGAGAGGAAUGCACACAGCACAAAGCAGUUUCUCAGAAAGCUUCUUUAUAGUUUUUAUCUGAAGAUAUUUCCUUUAUCACCACAGGCCUCAUUGUGCUCCAAAAUAUCCAUUCACAGAUUCUAUGAAAACUGUUUCCAAACCGCUGAAAGAAAAGAAAGGCCUCUUUGUGAUCCUUAAUCAUCCCUUCAUGGAUUCUGCCAAAAGUGUGUUUCAAGACUGCUGAAUGAAAAGAAAAGCUUAUCUCUGCGAGGUUAUUGCCCUCAUCACAAAGCGGUUUCUCAGCUUCCUUCUAGUUUUUGUCCUGGGAUAUUUACCUUUUCACCAUUGGCCUCAAUGAAUUCCCAAAUGUCCAUUCACAGAGUAGACAAAAACAGUGUUCGCGAAUGGCUGAAUCAAAAGAAAGGUUAAAUUCUGUGAGAUAAGUAAAGACAUCACAAAGCAGUUUCUCAGAAAGCUUCCUUCUAAUCUUUAUAUGAUGAUAUUUCUUUUCACCAUAAGCCACAAUGUGCUGCCAAAUAUCCCUUCGUGGAGUCUACAAAAACUGUGUUUCCAAACUGCUGAACGAAAAUAGAGGUUUUGAAUCUGUGAGUUGAAUAAACACAUCAAAAAGCAGUUUCUCAGAUAGUUUAAUUGUAGUUUUUAUCCUGGGCCAUUUGCUUUUUCACCUUUGCCCUCAGCAACAUCCCAAAUGUCCAUUUGCAGAGUGGACAAAGACAGAGUUACCAAACUGCUGAAUCCAAAGAAAGGUUUAAUUUUGUGAGGUGAAUGCAAACAUCCCAAAUCAGUUUCUCAUUAAGCUUCUUUCUAGUUUUUAUCUGAAUGUAUGUCCUUUUUCACUGUUGGCUUCCAUAUGCUUCCAAAUAUCUCUUCACAGAUUAUAAGAGGACAGUAUUUCCAAACUGCUGAAUGAAAAGAAAGGUUUAUUCCUGUGAGUUGAAUGCAAACAUCACAAAUUGGUUUCUCAGAUAACUUCCUUCUAACUUUUAUACUGGGAUAUUUGUUUUUUUGCCAUUGGCUGCAAUAAGCUCCCAAAUGUCCAUUUUGCAAAAAUGGUGUUUCUAAACUGCUGAAUUUGAAGAAAGGUUUAACUCUAUGAGGUGAAUGAACACAUCACAAAGCAGUUUCUCAGAAAGCUCCUUGCUAGUUUUUAACUGAAGAUAUUCUGCUUCUCACCAUAGGCCUCAACGCACUGCCAAAUAUCCUUCUGCAGAUUCUACAAAAACAGGGUUUCCAAAGUGCUGAAUGAAAAGAAAGGGUGAAUUCUGCUACAUCAAUGCACACAUCACAAACGCGUUUCUCAGAGAGCUUACUUCUAGUUUUUAUCCUUGGAUAUUCGCUUUUUUGCCUUUGGCCUCAGUAAGCUCCCAAACGUCCAUUCCCAGAAUUGACAAAAGCAGCUUUACCAAACUGCUGAAUCAAAAGAAAAGUUUAACUCUGUGAGAUGAAUGGACACAUCCCAAGCCAGUUUCUCAUUAAGCUUCUUUCUAGUUUUUAUCUGAAUAUAUUUCAUUUUUCACCGCUGACCUCAAUACUGUUCCAAAUAUCUCUUUGCAGAUUCUAAUAAAAGAGUUUUUCCAAACUGCUGAAUGAAAAGAAUGUUUUAACUCUGUGAGACUAAAGCACACAUCACAAAUUUGGUUCUCAGAUAACUUCCUU
rnacentral:lncRNA from 10 species